UACGAAGGGGGCUAGCGUUGCUCGGAAUCACUGGGCGUAAAGGGUGCGUAGGCGGCUAUUCAAGUCGGGGGUGAAAGCCCGGGGCUCAACCCCGGAACUGCCCUCGAAACUAGAUAGCUAGAAUCUUGGAGAGGCGAGUGGAAUUCCGAGUGUAGAGGUGAAAUUCGUAGAUAUUCGGAAGAACACCAGUGGCGAAGGCGACUCGCUGGACAAGUAUUGACGCUGAGGUGCGAAAGCGUGGGGAGCAAACAGG
rnacentral:rRNA from 1 species